AACUGUUUAGCUUAGUCAGUAGAGCACGAGAUGCUUAAUCUCAGGGUUGUGGGUUCAAGAUCCACAUUGGGCA